AAUUUUGGACACUGGGGGCAACCCUGAUCCAGCCAUCCCUCGUGUGCGAUGAAGGCCUUCGGGUUGUAUUGCACUUUCGUCAGGGAAGAAAAGGCUCUGCCUAAUACCUGGAGUUGCCGACGGUUCCUGCAGUAUAAGCACCGGCUUCCUACGUUCCAGCAGCCGCGGUAAUACGUAGGGUGCAAGCGUUAAUCGGAAUUACUGGGCGUAAAGCGUGCGCAGGCGGUUCGGCAAGAAGGAUGUGAAAUCCCAGGGCUUAACCUUGGAACUGCAUUCUUAACUGCCGGGCUAGAGUAUGUCAGAGGGGGGUAGAAUUCCGCGUGUAGCAGUGAAAUGCGUAGAGAUGCGGAGGAAUACCGAUGGCGAAGGCAGCCCCCUGGGAUAAUACUGACGCUCAUGCACGAAAGCGUGGGGAGCAAAC
rnacentral:rRNA from 1 species